UACAGAGGGUGCGAGCGUUAAUCGGAAUUACUGGGCGUAAAGCGCGCGUAGGUGGUUUGUUAAGUUGGAUGUGAAAUCCCCGGGCUCAACCUGGGAACUGCAUCCAAAACUGGCAAGCUAGAGUAUGGUAGAGGGUGGUGGAAUUUCCUGUGUAGCGGUGAAAUGCGUAGAUAAUAGGAAGGAACACCAGUGGCGAAGGCGACCACCUGGACUGAUACUGACACUGAGGUGCGAAAGCGUGGGGAGCAAACAGG
rnacentral:rRNA from 1 species